GUCCCAUGGAAAUUGUGAGCUGCC
rnacentral:siRNA from 1 species